rnacentral:rRNA from 1 species
UAGCUUGACUGGAGCUAUUGGCUUUGAAUUGUAUUGUGGAAAUGUAUUACCAACAGAGGUGCAGGUGCCAGCCUAUUGAAAUAAAGCGUCAAUGAGGGUGAGAAUCCUGUUUGUCAUGUGCAGCCCUUUGUGCACGGUGUAUAUUUGCUGAGUCACACUCCUUGGCAUUGGAAUGCAAAGUGGGUGGUAAGUUUCAUGUAAAGGUAAACAUGCAAUUGAGACUGAUAGCACACAAGUACCAUGAGGGAAAUAUGAAAAGGACUUUGAGAAUUAGUUGUAUUUGCUGAACACAAAGUAAACAGACUUGAUUUGCUUGGUGGGAGUGUUGCACUUGCUUGACAAGAGCUUUGGGCUGUGGGUGUAAUGAUUCUUUCUUUGCAUGCCAGUUUCUAUUUGUACAUCUGAUUACCUUUGCACAUGAAUGAUAAGUCUCCUGUGGGGGUGGAUUGCAUGUGCAUGUAAUGAUUUGUGUUUUGAUAAAUGUGUCUGGUGUAUGUGUGUGUUCCUGUGCUUGGGGAUGCUUCCUUCCUUGGACUUACAAGCCCUGACACACACAUGCUGGCAAAAUGCUUCUGCUUGACCCGUCUUGAAACACGACCAAGGAGUCUAACAGAUGUGCACAGUUUGAAGGUGGUAUACCUUUGUGUGCAAUGAAUAUGUGCACCAGCACCCAAUAAUUAGCUGACAGAGGUUUGAGCAUAUCUAUUAGGACCGAAAGAUAACUAUGCCUGAACAGAAUAAUU